UUGGAGGGCAAGUCUGGUGCCAGCAGCCGCGGUAAUUCCAGCUCCAAUAGCGUAUAUUAAAGUUGUUGCAGUUAAAAAGCUCGUAGUUGAAUUUCGGGAUCAGUUCGUUGGUCGUGCCUUAGGUACGUACUGGUGUUACUGGUUUCUACCUUCUGACGAACCAUCAUGUCAUUAAUUUGGUGUGGUGGGGAAUCAGGACUGUUACUUUGAAAAAAUUAGAGUGUUUAAAGCAGGCUCGCGCUUGAAUACAUUAGCAUGGAAUAAUGAAAUAGGACGUUGAUCCUAUUUUGUUGGUUUCUAGGAUUGACGUAAUGAUUAAUAGGGAUAGUUGGGGGCAUUAGUAUUCAAUUGUCAGAGGUGAAAUUCUUGGAUUUAUUGAAGACUAACUACUGCGAAAGCAUUUGCCAAGGAUGUUUUCAUUAAUCAAGAACGAAAGUUAGGGGAUCGAAGACGAUCAGAUACCGUCGUAGUCUUAACCAUAAACUAUGCCGACUAGGGAUCGGAUGAUGUUAUUUUUAAUGACUCAUUCGGCGCCUUACGGGAAAC
rnacentral:rRNA from 1 species